rnacentral:rRNA from 1 species
UACGUAGGGGGCAAGCGUUGUCCGGAAUUAUUGGGCGUAAAGAGCGUGUAGGCGGCCAGACAGGUCCGUUGUGAAAACUCGAGGCUCAACCUCGAGAUGUCGAUGGAAACCGUCUGGCUAGAGUCCGGAAGAGGAGUGUGGAAUUCCUGGUGUAGCGGUGAAAUGCGCAGAUAUCAGGAAGAACACCUAUGGCGAAGGCAGCACUCUGGGACGGUACUGACGCUGAGACGCGAAAGCGUGGGGAGCGAACAGG